rnacentral:rRNA from 1 species
CCUACGGGCGGCAGCAGUGAGGAAUAUUGGUCAAUGGGCUUACGCCUGAACCAGCCAAGUCGCGUGAGGGAAGACUGCCCUAUGGGUUGUAAACCUCUUUUGUCAGGGAGCAACGCCGGCUACGUGUAGCCGGACUGAGAGUACCUGAAGAAAAAGCAUCGGCUAACUCCGUGCCAGCAGCCGCGGUAAUACGGAGGAUGCGAGCGUUAUCCGGAUUUAUUGGGUUUAAAGGGUGCGUAGGCGGAAUGCCAAGUCAGCGGUAAAAUCGCGGGGCUCAACCUCGCUCCGCCGUUGAAACUGGCGGUCUUGAGUGGGCGAGAAGUAUGCGGAAUGCGUGGUGUAGCGGUGAAAUGCAUAGAUAUCACGCAGAACUCCGAUUGCGAAGGCAGCAUACCGGCGCCCAACUGACGCUGAAGCACGAAAGCGUGGGUAUCGAACAGGAUUAGAUACCAUAGUAGUC